rnacentral:rRNA from 1 species
GACGAACGCUGGCGGCGUGCUUAACACAUGCAAGUCGAACGGAAAGGCCCUGCUUUUGUGGGGUGCUCGAGUGGCGAACGGGUGAGUAACACGUGAGUAACCUGCCCUUUACUUUGGGAUAACUUCAGGAAACUGGGGCUAAUACCGGAUAGGAGCUCCUGCUGCAUGGUGGGGGUUGGAAAGUUUCGGCGGUUGGGGAUGGACUCGCGGCUUAUCAGCUUGUUGGUGGGGUAGUGGCUUACCAAGGCUUUGACGGGUAGCCGGCCUGAGAGGGUGACCGGCCACAGUGGGACUGAGAUACGGCCCAGACUCCUACGGGAGGCAGCAGGGGGGAAUAUUGCACAAUGGGCGGAAGCCUGAUGCAGCAACGCCGCGUGCGGGAUGACGGCCUUCGGGUUGUAAACCGCUUUCGCCUGUGACGAAGCGUGAGUGACGGUAAUGGGUAAAGAAGCACCGGCUAACUACGUG